AGAGUUUGAUCAUGGCUCAGAUUGAACGCUGGCGGCAUGCCUUACACAUGCAAGUCGAACGGUAACAGGUUAAGCUGACGAGUGGCGAACGGGUGAGUAAUAUAUCGGAACGUGCCCAGUCGUGGGGGAUAACUGCUCGAAAGAGCAGCUAAUACCGCAUACGACCUGAGGGUGAAAGCGGGGGAUCGCAAGACCUCGCGCGAUUGGAGCGGCCGAUAUCAGAUUAGGUAGUUGGUGGGGUAAAGGCCCACCAAGCCAACGAUCUGUAGCUGGUCUGAGAGGACGACCAGCCACACUGGGACUGAGACACGGCCCAGACUCCUACGGGAGGCAGCAGUGGGGAAUUUUGGACAAUGGGCGCAAGCCUGAUCCAGCCAUGCCGCGUGCGGGAAGAAGGCCUUCGGGUUGUAAACCGCUUUUGUCAGGGAAGAAAAGGUUCUGGUUAAUACCUGGGACUCAUGACGGUACCUGAAGAAUAAGCACCGGCUAACUACGUGCCAGCAGCCGCGGUAAUACGUAGGGUGCAAGCGUUAAUCGGAAUUACUGGGCGUAAAGCGUGCGCAGGCGGUUAUGCAAGACAGAGGUGAAAUCCCCGGGCUCAACCUGGGAACUGCCUUUGUGACUGCAUGGCUAGAGUACGGUAGAGGGGGAUGGAAUUCCGCGUGUAGCAGUGAAAUGCGUAGAUAUGCGGAGGAACACCGAUGGCGAAGGCAAUCCCCUGGACCUGUACUGACGCUCAUGCACGAAAGCGUGGGGAGCAAACAGGAUUAGAUACCCCAGUAGUCC
rnacentral:rRNA from 1 species